rnacentral:misc_RNA from 1 species
GAAUUAGUCGUGUUUUCUUUGGAUCUGAUUUUGUCACUGUAACAAAGUCAGAUGAUGCUUCUUGGGAUUUCCUAAAGCCUGAAAUAUUUGCAGCAAUCAUGGACUUCUACUCUUCUGGGCAGCCAUUGUUUCUAGAUUCAGAAACUGCAGCUGCAAAGGACACAGCUAUUCAUGAGGAUGAUUCUGAAAUAGUUGCAAUGAUUAAAGAACUGCUAGAAACUCGUAUUCGACCAGCAGUGCAAGAUGAUGGUGGAGAUAUUGAGUAUCGGGGAUUUGAUCCGGAAACCGGAAUAGUCAAAUUGAGAAUGCAAGGAGCAUGUAGUGGCUGUCCAAGCUCAUCGGUCACUCUGAAAUCUGGAAUUGAAAAUAUGCUGAUGCAUUAUGUAUCGGAGGUAACAAGUCAAACAUGAUUUUCUAUUUUAAAAAAGUGUAGAUUAACAUGAGUAUCCUGACAUCUUGUAGUCUUGCACAGUAAGUUUAAAAACCUUGGCAUGUGGGCAAUCCACCUCCAAGUCUUGUAACCAAAUUCAUCUUUUAUUGGGUGGGCAGCUUUUGUCAUUAAUUUGUCUGCACAUGUUAGGACUCAGAGUUGGAUCCAUUUGUUGGGGUGCUGGAAAUAUGUUCUAUGAGUUGUUUUUCAGAUUGCAUUGCUGGGAUGGGAACUAUUGCUCUUAUUUUGGUCUCUGGAGAAUAGAGGAGGCUGAUAAUCAAUGGACAUACUAGCCAAUUCCCAUUUCCUGAAGAAAUUAUAUACUGGUUUUACCAGUGUGAAUUUUUUAUACUUUCUUCUUUUAUGUGUUUAUGUGUGCUUGCAUGAAUGCAUAUAAAUUGGAAUUGAACGAGGCCAUUAUGGACGUUUCAUGAUAAAUGGGUGUUUUUACGUAAUAUUGAAUUAAAUCAUGCAUUAACAUAGUGAAUCGAAGAAUAAUGCCCUUCAUAAUUUGUAUAAAUGACAGUGUAUAAUUUUCAUGUAUUAAGACUUAAUAGAGACUGCACUUUUCCUCACUUGAGCUUUAUAAAUCUGGUUAUGGGUUGCUAUUGGAUGAUGAAUCAUGUCAUGCUGUUAACAUGCAAUUAAGCCUUACUUGAAAGAAAAAGUAGUAUUCUAAUUUCCAGAACUCAACUCUGAACACUGAAUUUGCACUUGGAACUCCCAAGGGAAGGCAAAAAGAUGCUAGGAUGGAUGCAUGGGUGUUACUAAUUCUAGUUUCUGUAGUCAUCCUUUUAUGAAAAUGUUUUUUGUUAAGCAUUUCUCAAGUGAAUGAGUUGACCAUUGUGUUAAUUACUGAAAUAUUUGGUGCUAAUGUUCACGAUAUGUUAUGGCCAGAUCAGAAAAACCUGCCAAAAGUUGAUUAGAUGCUUUUAUAAAAGGGAAGUUUGGUUUCUUAGGAAUCAACAUGUAUGGGCAUAAGGAUGCAGGUUUCGUGUUCAUUUUCCUUGUUUUGGGCUCUCAAACUUCUAGUUAUGUUGAUGAAUUCUUGUUUCAUAGCCAGUGCUAUUGCGCUGUUGUAUUACAUGGCUUAUAUUUUGCUUGAUAAAUUGUUCUGCCUCCUGGCUAGUACUGCUGGGAAGAAUUGUAAUUGGAAUUCAACUCUUUAUUUUUAUCUUCAUGUUUGUGUUUGUCUGCUCAUGAACAUAUGCAGGUGAAAGGAGUGGAACAAGAAUUAGAUGCUGAAGACGAGGAUGCAGCAUUGGCUGGCCAGAUUGAGUAGUUCAAAAUUUUCUUCACCAUCAUGUGGCGUAUUCAUAUGCAUGUUUGAGUCACAGGAUUUCUGAUAUGCGUUCCGGCAGAGUGCAAAUAAAGUUUGUUGGUUAUUUUUAUCGGUGGGAUAUGUCGUGCCUUCCUGUAAGCUAAGUGCAAUUAUAUAAUGCAAGAGUGAGAAUAUAAAGCUGUAUGGACGACAUUGUAUUACUUGCAUAAAAGAUGUUUGGCAUUUUGUUCUCUAAUGUUUUUGCACAAAGCUAUAAAAAUUAGCCUUUUUCCCCUCAGUAUCAUAAAUCAAAAUGGUUUUACUCAAGAUAAUUGUAAUUCAAC